CUUUGGAUGCCAACGGCGGAAGACUCGCACGUGACAUUGCUAAUUUUUUCCAUUUCACUGCGAGUGUUCCCGCGUUGAUUCCAAUU
rnacentral:pre_miRNA from 1 species